GACUAUGGGACAGAGGUUCAGGGCCGAAGGGGUAGAGGAAGACCUAGGAAAACUUUGAGAGAGACCCUAAGAAAAGACUUAGAGUACUUGGAUCUAACGGAGGACAUGAUACAGGACAGAACACACAAUGGCGUUCUCUAAGAUUCAUAUAGCCGAUCCCACUCAGUGACUUGGAUUUUCCAAGUCUCCAACCGAGAAGUUGUCCUCGCUAGGGAAAUUAAGGGAACACUACCUCAACCUACAUGCUCCACUCACAAAGCUCCAACAUACAAGCUUCAACAAAAG
rnacentral:lncRNA from 1 species